rnacentral:rRNA from 1 species
UCCAAGAUUAGAUUUCCCAAUUAGACAGGUUGGAGACUACAACCUUGAUAGGUCACAGGUGUAAGAAUGGCAACAUUCUCAGCCGAGUGAUACUAAUAAGUC